rnacentral:tRNA from 1 species
AGGCGAUUAGCUCAAUUGGCAGAGCAUCUCCCUUACAAGGAGAGGGUCACUGGUUCGAAUCCAGUAUCGCCUACCA